ACUGAUUUUCUUAGAUAAUAUAAUUAAACAGAAGCGUGUAACAGAUUAAACAUUAUGAGAGAGAAAAACUUUAUUGAUCAAACAUUUGGCUUCCAAGAAAAGUACCUGACCUAGCUCAAUAUUAGGUAACAUUAUGAAGUAUUUCCUGGGCAUGAUAAUGACAUUGUGGUUAUAUGAUAGGUGAAUUAUUUAGGGUCGAAGUGUCAAAUCAGUGUCUUUGUGGAGGGAUAAAGCUUUGUGGAGGGAUAGGGGAAAAUGUUCGACAAUUGUUGAAUCUAAAUAGAAGGAAUUCACAUGUUUAUUUUAACAUUCUAUCAACUUUUUGGUAUACUCUUAACAAAAAGAAAAAAACAAUGCCUGACUUAGAUGUUUAUAUGGGUGACUCAAGCUAUCAAGUAAUGGAUAACUCCUGUGCCAUAUAAACAGUUCCAAUACACUAACAAAAACUUCCUAAUUUACUUGAGGACAUUAACAAAAACCUCAGAAGACAUACCUGAAAUUAUGAAUCUUUUGCAUCAGUGUGAUGUCUCCACUUUUAUUUCUGAUUUUAUUUAUUUGAGUCUUCUAGUUUUUUCUUAGUCUAGCUAAAUGUUUGUUAACAUUGUUUUUACCUUUUCAAAAACUAACAAUUUAGUUGAUUUCUUCCUGUUUUUCUAUUUUUUAUUUCUGCUCUAAUUUUUAUUCUUUCCUUUUUUCUGCUAACUUUGGGCUUAGUUUUGUUCUUUUUUUUCUAGUUCCUUGAGAUGUAAAGUUGAGUUGCUUAUUUGAGAUCUUUCUUCCUUUAAAAAUAGGCAAUUAUCAUUAGAAACUUCCCUCUUAGUCCUGAUUUUGCUUCAUCCUGUAAGUGUUCAUUUGUUGUGUUUUUGUCUUUUUUAAAAUUUUCCUUGAUUUCAUCUUUGAUCCACUGGUUGUUUUAAGAGUGUGUUGUUAAUUCCCACAUAAUUGUGAUUUUCCCAGUUUUCCUUCUGUUACUGAUUUCUAAUUUUAGUCUAUUGUGCUUGGGAAAAAAAGGUUGGUAUCAUUUCAGUCUUCUUAAAUUUGUUCAGACUUGUUUUAUGACUUAAUAUGUGAUCUAUCCUGGAGAAUGUUCUAUGUGCAGUUGAGAAGACUGUGUAUUCUGCAACUGUUAGGUGGAAUAUUCAGUAUAUGUGUGUUCUGUUCAUUAUUGAAAAUGGGGUACUGACAUCUUCUACUGUAUUGCUAAUUGCUAUUUUUCCCUUCAGUUCUGUCAGUGUUUGCUUUAUGUAUUUAGGUACUCUAAUGUUGGGUGUAUAUAUGUUUAUACUUGUGAUAUCUUCCUAAUGAAUUGACUCUUUUAUCAUAUGACCUUCUUUGUCUCUUGGGAUGGUUUUUUAUUUAAAGUCUAUAUCGUCUGAUAGUGUGGCCACACCUGUGCUCUUUUGGUUGCUAUCUGCAUGGAAUAUAUUUUCCUAUUCCUUCACUUUUAGCCUGUGUGUCCUUAAAUCUAAAGUGAGUCUCUUCUAGAUAGUAUAUAGUUAGAUCUUA
ensembl:lncRNA novel transcript, sense intronic to ALMS1